CUGGCAUACCCCCCCACCCUGUCCCCUGCACUGCAUAUAUUCUCUCCCUCCAAAAUAGCAUCUCUGGAGAGGGGAAGUGGGGGGGUUCUCAGUUCACCGCUCGCUCCUUCCCACAUUGCAUUCACAGCUCUCUGGGCUGUCUCUCGCGACCUGGUUUCCCUGUCAGGCCCUUCUGCUGUGCCUCCACUCUCACCACUCGGCUCUUCCAGGCCCCGGACCCCUCUGGCCGAGAGGGAGCUCCUUCUCUGAGCUCGGCCCGACUCCCACCUGCAAAUCGGCUGCCACGGCAUUCCCUAUUCCCUAUGCCGUUUGGGACAGAAGUGAAUUCUGUGCACAUCAAGGGGCAUCAAAUGCGCUUGGGGGGGUCUCUGUGGUAGUCACUGGGGCAGGGGAGAAAGAUGUCUAAAUGGCACAGUCCUCGUCCUUUCCUCCACGGAUCUCACAAAGGAGAGGUCUGGCACAGGAACCGCCUCCAGAAUGUUCCCUUGAGCAGCUCCCAGGUUGGGCCUGCCCUGGGAAACGGCCAAUCCGACAGAGCAGCAGAUGCAGACUGAAGAGAACAAGGAUUUGGCUGCAUUGGAAUCAAGUUUGGAAGAACAUUUAGAAGCUGGCUGUAGUUCUUAACUGCAACAGAGGAGCAGGGAAAGCUGGGACAUCUCGCCACUGG
rnacentral:lncRNA from 1 species